AGAGUUUGAUCCUGGCUCAGAACGAACGCUGGCGGCAGGCUUAACACAUGCAAGUCGAACGCCCCGCAAGGGGAGUGGCAGACGGGUGAGUAACGCGUGGGAAUCUACCCAGUUCUACGGAAUAACCCAGGGAAACUUGGACUAAUACCGUAUACGCCCUACGGGGGAAAGAUUUAUCGGAAUUGGAUGAGCCCGCGUUGGAUUAGCUAGUUGGUGGGGUAAUGGCCUACCAAGGCGACGAUCCAUAGCUGGUCUGAGAGGAUGAUCAGCCACACUGGGACUGAGACACGGCCCAGACUCCUACGGGAGGCAGCAGUGGGGAAUAUUGGACAAUGGGCGCAAGCCUGAUCCAGCCAUGCCGCGUGAGUGAUGAAGGCCUUAGGGUUGUAAAGCUCUUUCAGUAGGGACGAUAAUGACGGUACCUACAGAAGAG
rnacentral:rRNA from 1 species